rnacentral:lncRNA from 1 species
AGGGGUAGCAAGAAGAUUUCUAUAAACAUCCCGAGUCUUUAGUUUAUUUGAACCAAUCUGAUACCAUACUAAUGUAUCUUGAGUUGGAUGCUUUGGAAUGGGCAAAGCAAUAAUGUCAUGCCCCGGCCCGAGGCCUGACCCAAGCACACAACAGAUGGCCACACGUUCCUAGGGUUUAACCCCUAAAGACAUGUAAGGCUUCAAAUUCAAAAAUAUUAUAUCAAAUUAUACUGAGAUAGUGGUAGUAAAAGUAAACUUUUAAUUUUAUUGAUUCAAAUAAAAUAUAGUUC